CGACCGGCCACACUGGGACUGAGACGCGGCCCAGACUCCUACGGGAGGCAGCAGUGGGGAAUAUUGCGCAAUGGGCGAAAGCCUGACGCAGCGACGCCGCGUGGGGGAUGAAGGCCUUCGGGCUGUAAACCCCUUUCAGCAGGGACGAAGCGAAAGCGACGGUACCUGCAGAAGAAGCGCCGGCUAACUACGUGCCAGCAGCCGCGGUAACACGUAGGGCGCAAGCGUUGUCCGGAAUUAUUGGGCGUAAAGAGCUCGUAGGCGGUCUGUUGCGUCCGCUGUGAAAACUCGGGGCUUAACCCCGUAGCCUGCAGUGGAUACGGGCAGACUAGAGGUAGGUAGGGGAGAAUGGAAUUCCCGGUGUAGCGGUGAAAUGCGCAGAUAUCGGGAGGAACACCGGUGGCGAAGGCGGUUCUCUGGGCCUUACUGACGCUGAGGAGCGAAAGCGUGGGGAGCAAACAGGAUUAGAUACCCUGGUAGUCCCCGCCGUAAACGUUGGGCGCUAGGUGUGGGAUCCUUCCACGGAUUCCGUGCCGCAGCUAACGCAUUAAGCGCCCCGCCUGGGGAGUACGGCCGCAAGGCUA
rnacentral:rRNA from 1 species